AGAGUUUGAUCCUGGCUCAGGAUGAACGCUAGCGGCAGGCCUAAUACAUGCAAGUCGAACGAGAUCAAGGACUUCGGUUCUUGGUUUAGUGGCGCACGGGUGCGUAACGCGUAUGCAACCUACCUUAAACUGGGGGAUAGCCCGGGGAAACCCGGAUUAAUACCGCAUAAGAUCACACGAGGGCAUCUGAGAGUGAUUAAAGAUUUAUUGGUUUAAGAUGGGCAUGCGUGCCAUUAGCUAGUUGGUAGGGUAACGGCCUACCAAGGCUACGAUGGCUAGGGGUUCUGAGAGGAUGAUCCCCCACACUGGUACUGAGAUACGGACCAGACUCCUACGGGAGGCAGCAGUAGGGAAUAUUGGGCAAUGGACGGAAGUCUGACCCAGCCAUGCCGCGUGCAGGAUGAAGGCCUUCUGGGUUGUAAACUGCUUUUAUCUGGGAAGAAAACACCUAUGCGUAGGAAACUGACGGUACCAGAUGAAUAAGCACCGGCUAACUCCGUGCCAGCAGCCGCGGUAGUACGGAGGGUGCAAGCGUUGUCCGGAUUUAUUGGGUUUAAAGGGUGCGUAGGCGGCCCUGUAAGUCAGUGGUGAAAGCCUCCAGCUCAACUGGAGAACUGCCAUUGAUACUGCAGGGCUUGAGUACAGACGAGGUUGGCGGAAUUGAUUGUGUAGCGGUGAAAUGCAUAGAUACAAUCAAGAACUCCGAUUGCGUAGGCAGCUAACUAGGCUGUAACUGACGCUGAGGCACGAAAGCGUGGGGAGCGAACAGGAUUAGAUACCCUGGUAGUCCACGCCGUAAACGAUGAUUACUCGAUGUUGGCGAUACACAGUCAGCGUCUUAGCGAAAGCGUUAAGUAAUCCACCUGGGGAGUACGCCCGCAAGGGUGAAACUCAAGAUGACGG
rnacentral:rRNA from 1 species